GAUACGUCUUCAGAGUUUGAUCCUGGCUCAGGACAAACGCUGGCGGCGUGCAUAACACAUGCAAGUCGAACGAGAUUGUAGGAAAUGGAGUCUUCGGACAAAGCUUUUUACAUGAAAGUGGCGAACGGGUGAGUAACACGUGAGAAACCUGCCCUUCACAGUGGGAUAGCCGUUGGAAACGACGAUUAAUACCGCAUGAGAUUGUAGUAUCGCAUGAUAUAGCAAUUAAAGAUUUUAUCGGUGAAGGAUGGUCUCGCGUCUGAUUAGCUAGUUGGUGGGGUAAAGGCCUACCAAGGCGACGAUCAGUAGCCGAUCUGAGAGGGUGUACGGCCACAUUGGGACUGAGACACGGCCCAA
rnacentral:rRNA from 1 species